CACUGACAUUAGAUACCCGGGUAGUCCCAGCCGUAAACUAUGCGCGUUAGGUGUACUGGUGACCACGAGUCACCGGGGUGCCGAAGGGAAACCGUGAAACGUGCCGCCUGGGAAGUACGGUCGCAAGGCCGAAACUUAAAGGAAUUGGCGGGGGAGCACCGCAACGGGAGGAGCGUGCGGUUUAAUUGGAUUCAACACCGUAAGACUCACCAGGGAAGACUGUUACAUGAAGGCCGAGAUGAAGACUCUGCUAGAUUUUCAG
rnacentral:rRNA from 1 species